CCCUUCGGGGUGAAGCUCGUGGAACGAGCGGCGGACGGGUGAGUAACACGUGGGCAACCUGCCUGUAAGACCGGAAUAACCCCGGGAAACCGGGGCUAAUGCCGGGUAAUACUUUUCUUCGCAUGAAGGAAAGUUGAAAGAUGGCUUCUUGCUAUCACUUACAGAUGGGCCCGCGGCGCAUUAGCUAGUUGGUGAGGUAACGGCUCACCAAGGCGACGAUGCGUAGCCGACCUGAGAGGGUGAUCGGCCACACUGGGACUGAGACACGGCCCAGACUCCUACGGGAGGCAGCAGUAGGGAAUCUUCCGCAAUGGACGAAAGUCUGACGGAGCAACGCCGCGUGAACGAUGAAGGUCUUCGGAUCGUAAAGUUCUGUUGUUAGGGAAGAACAAGUACCGUGCGAAUAGAGCGGUACCUUGACGGUACCUAACGAGGAAGCCCCGGCUAACUACGUGCCAGCAGCCGCGGUAAUACGUAGGGGGCAAGCGUUGUCCGGAAUUAUUGGGCGUAAAGCGCGCGCAGGCGGUUCCUUAAGUCUGAUGUGAAAGCCC
rnacentral:rRNA from 1 species